rnacentral:rRNA from 1 species
UACGUAGGUGGCGAGCGUUGUCCGGAUUUACUGGGCGUAAAGAGCGCGCAGGCGGCUGGUCAAGUCCGAUGUGAAAGCUCCCGGCUUAACUGGGAAUUGCAUCGGAAACUGAUCGGCUGGAAGGUGGGAGAGGGUAGCGGAAUUCCCGGUGUAGUGGUGAAAUGCGUAGAUAUCGGGAGGAACACCAGUGGCGAAAGCGGCUACCUGGCCCAUUACUGACGCUGAGGCACGAAAGCUAGGGGAGCAAACAGG